UAAAUAUCUAGCAAGCAUAAAGCACAUUGACAUUAACGGUAAAAGACAUCACAAAGAGAAAACCGAGCACUUAUAAGUGCUUGAGUAACCAAAAAUAUUAGGAAAGAAAUCGUUAAGGGCGUAUGGCGGAUGCCUAGGCUUUCAGAGGCGACGAAGGACGUGGUAAGCUGCGAAAAGCUACGGGGAUUGGCACACACGAAUUGAUCCGUAGAUAUCCGAAUGGGGCAACCCAAUACAUUGAAGAUGUAUUACUGCGUAAGCAGAGCAAACCCGGAGAACUGAAACAUCUAAGUACCCGGAGGAAAAGAAAUCGAAGAGAUUCCGUAAGUAGUGGC
rnacentral:rRNA from 1 species